CCUACGGGUGGCAGCAGUGAGGAAUAUUGGUCAAUUGCCGAGAGGCUGAACCAGCCAAGUCGCGUGAGGGAAGACGGCCCUACGGGUUGUAAACCUCUUUUGUCGGGGAGCAAAGCGAACCACGUGUGGUUCAUUGAGAGUACCCGAAGAAAAAGCAUCGGCUAACUCCGUGCCAGCAGCCGCGGUAAUACGGAGGAUGCGAGCGUUAUCCGGAUUUAUUUGGUUUAAAGGGUGCGCAGGCGGAGGUGCAAGUCAGCGGUCAAAUUGCGGGGCUCAACCCCGUACUGCCGUUGAAACUGCAUCCCUUGAGGGCGCGAGAAGUAUGCGGAAUGCGGGGGGUAGCGGUGAAAUGCAGAGAUAUCACGCAGAACUCCGAUUGCGAAGGCAGCAUACCGGCGCGCAACUGACGCUCAUGCACGAAAGCGUGGGUAUCGAACAGGAUUAGAUACCCCUGUAGUC
rnacentral:rRNA from 1 species